GAAACACUGCAAAAAUGACUUCAGCUGCCAAAAAUAAUAAUGUCGUUUACAAGCAGCUCUUCCUAUGUCUAAGGAAGAACUAGCCACACAUGUGAGAUUAUGCUGGCUUCAGAGGAGCAAGCAAGAAAAAGGGCAAACCCUACCUACCCCACCCUAAAAACACAGUAUCAGAACCCACGAGAAGCUGUGGCCCCUUCCAAAGGUGCUGGCAAUAUCGAGGGAGAUUCGUAUCCACAAAAAUCUGAACGAGAACAAGCUUGAAGCCUGAAAUUGCAGCAGCCAUUUGGUGACCGGGAGGGGACAAAGGCCUGUGUGGUAAGGAAGGUGGAGGAGACAGACAGAAGAACUUCAGUUCCUGUCAGCGUCACUCAGUUGCUGUAGCCGUCUUGAACUGCCCACCUCUGGACUUGUCAUAUUACAUGAUCUGAUGCUUCAGAGUCAUCACUGGAAAUUUGGAUCUAACGGAGCUGGAGGUAUCCAGGGAAAUGAUCUUGGGUAAAUCCAUCUCACUUUUGCUUUCUUCACAGGGUUUGAUUUGGCCCUUCUGUGUCAUUGCAAAUGACAGGCCUUCUUGCCUCCACUUCUUUCCAAACUCGUGUCAUGAUCUGCAAGAAAUAUAUAUUUUUUCACAAAGAGAUUGUUUAAGCUUCUACUUAUGAGUGCUUGAACAAUAGAAUAGAAAGUCCCAAUUGGUCCCAAAUUCUUCCUGGGUUCCAAGCUGUCUAGCCCAUCAUAGGUGCCCAGUGAUACUCCUUUAUCUUUAUGUGUCAUGCAAAGACUUCCCUCCAGGAGGAAGCAAGAAGGGUGGGGAUAGUAAUUUAUAAUUAUUUAAGAAUUAAGUUCAUUUAAAAAACAAAGCAAGACAAAACAGUAGUCAAUUAUUUUCAUUCUCUAUUGGAACAGGACAUUUUUCUUUUUAAGUGGAUUAAAGUAUUCUUGACUUCAGCAGCAGAGCCUAUUCUGUCCUUCGUAGUCUGUUUGUAGUUCCUAAUAGAAUAUUCUAUUCCUAAAUAAAUAAAUUCGUAACAAACUAUUUGUGAACCGAUAUUUCCUUUAACCCUCUCAGAUUUUGCAGUUAUUAAGAUUACUUGUCACCAGAUACUGACUAUAAAAAAUAAAUCAAGACUUAAAAGGCUUUACUAAUUAUAAUAGCUUAUCAUUUAAAGUCUAUUCCAUCUUCCUACGUGGUCGGCCUAGUCAGGUGUGAUCAUGUCCAUAGGCUUAUCUCUAAACAACAGGCAGAGAAGAGACAUUAAUGCUAAGAUACAGUACAACGAAGAAGCUUUUUUUCAGUUCCAGUAGGCAGAGCUUGAAGGGAGAAGAUGAAAUAACCGUAAGCAAUUUCAGGGUGUUUGGAUUGGAAUUGUUGGACAACCGAGUGGAGAGAAAAAGUUGGAAUGGCAUACCAUUCUCUCUCAACACCUUAGUCAGACCGUAGGGAACUUUUUUUUUUAGCUAGGGGAAGGGUGGGGGUGAUUUAAAGGCCCUGAUGAAUGAGAAGGCAUCCUGUCAGGCUAGUCGGAACCAGAUCGAGGAAGGGCAGCAAGGUUAGUACUAACUUGGGAGAAUUUAGUGGUGAUGAUGAGGCUGAAAAGGCAGGGAAGCAUUUAUCCAAACACACCUGGCUAUGGGUCUCAAAGAAAAACCAAGAGCCUUUGCAAAAAUUGCAUGUUACUAAACAUUUCUUUGGAACUAACCAUGUCUGGAGACUCAUUAUAGCUGUCUAAGCCCAUAAAUUAUUACGUAUGUCACCUACGCUAUUCAUGAAUACAGGAAAAAGGCACGGCAAGCAUUUAAAAAAAUGCACAGAGAUAUAUCUUUUUAAAAACCAGAGCUUAUCUUAUUUAAGAUAGUUUAGGACUAUCUACAAGCUCCUUUAAUGAGACUGCUUUCUGAAGGAAACGCGUCCAGGAGAUCACUCAGCUUUUCUUCAGUCUUCUCAUCCUGCAAGUAAAAUUUUAACUAUGAUGGAGGGAGAGAAUCUCUGGCCCAAAAAACUCAAGAAAUUUCUUAUCCACAGAUAGAGGUCAAUGGAAACUACAGCUCUUCAAUGGCGGCAUUAGUCAUUGAGAUUGGUUUUUAGCUUGUUAGAGAGUCAAAUGACACUGGUAGGUGUAAUAAGAUGUUUCCAAGUAUUCCUGUGCUUGGCAAUUGCUUCAAGGACAUGAAGAGGUGAAUCUUAGAGCAAUGUGUUCUGAUCAAGAAACAGCUGGAAAUGGUGGGAACCUGAUAUGGAACCAUCAGGAACUGAAGGUUUAUUUUGAAUGAGAGGUGUUUUCCAACUGUGAGACUGAGUGACUGCAGCUGAGAAUAAGUGCAAACACAAUCAACAGAGACUCUAG